UACAGAGGUCUCAAGCGUUGUUCGGAUUCAUUGGGCGUAAAGGGUGCGUAGGUGGCGCGGUAAGUCGGGUGUGAAAUUUCGGAGCUUAACUCCGAAACUGCAUUCGAUACUGCCGUGCUUGAGGACUGGAGAGGAGACUGGAAUUUACGGUGUAGCGGUGAAAUGCGUAGAUAUCGUAAGGAAGACCAGUGGCGAAGGCGGGUCUCUGGACAGUUCCUGACGCUGAGGCACGAAGGUCAGGGGAGCAAAACAGGG
rnacentral:rRNA from 1 species